GACGAACGCUGGCGGCGUGCUUAACACAUGCAAGUCGAACGGAGUGGCGAACGGGUGAGUAAUACGUGGGUAACCUGCCCUCCUUUUUGGGGUAAGCCUUGGAAACGGGGUCUAAUACCGAAUAAAGGGGGAUGGGCUCGCGGCCUAUCAGCUUGUUGGUGGGGUGCUGGCCUUCCAAGGCGGUGACGGGUAGCCGGCCUGAGAGGGUGAUGGGAGUCAGUGGGACUGAGAUACGGCGCAGAUUCCUACGGGAGGCAGCAGUGGGGGAGAUGGCACAAUGGGUGAAAGCCGGAUGCAGCGAUGCCGCGGGGGCGAUGAAGGCUUUAGGGUUGUAAACCGUUUGCGAUAUCGAAUGGGUAGGUGGAGAAGAAGCGCCGGCUAACUACGUGCCAGCCGCCGCGGUAAUAC
rnacentral:rRNA from 1 species